GGGGAGGGAAAUGUCACCCGGCGGGCGCGGUGCUGAGGGACGGAGCGAGGGGACGGAGGGACAGGGAGCGCCGCCGGCUGUCAAGGCUUAGCUGAUUAAAACUGCCCUGAGUGAAGUUUUCAAUGAGCACCGAAAGGAAUGGCAGCCAACGGCUUGGAGGUUUUCUUUUCUUUUUUUUUUUUUUCUUUUUUUUUUUCUUUUUGCCCACGAAAGCAGCAUUUUGUGGUAGAAAUAGCAAUGAGAGCACUGAAAAAAAUACAUAAAAAAUACAGCGUUGCCGAUACCACUCGUCUGUAUUUAGAUUACGUAUCGUUCUGCCCUAAAGCAACUCUAGUUGCUAUUUUUCACCCAUUUUUUUUUCCCAACUAUGAUGCAGAAAUAAGACCUAGCAGAUAGGAUGUCAGCCUCUUUGCCAGGAUGUGGUAUUCUCUUAUACGAAUCACACUGUUGUCCUCUCGAAUGGCAUUUCUGAGGUCUCAUUAAGGAUUUCUAAAGGCAGUGAAGUUUCUGCACCGCCGCUAUCCCAUCCGUGCUUGCAGACACACACAGGCCCAAUCCUGCGUGUGGUUCUGUGCUUCGUUAUGG
rnacentral:lncRNA from 1 species